rnacentral:lncRNA from 1 species
GAAUGUAAAAAAGACACUGUGGGGAAAAAGAUCAAUGGGGAAUUUUGUACCAGCAAGGCUAUUACACGUGAGAAUACUGAUUCAAAUGCAUCUGAAAUGAGAAAAGCCCAAAAGUUACUGCUUACUAUGAUCUGCAGCUAUGUAAAGUUACUAAUUGCCUUCCAUUUCCUAAGUAACAACCUACACCCUGCCAGCUGAGACUAUCAAAUCGGUUUCAAAUAUUCACCAGAAGGUUUUUUAAAUAAAACCAUCUUUUUAAACAUCACUUUAUACUGUUGAACAAAACCACAAAAUUCACCCUUGUUUCUAAACACCUUGUGAGACAUCUUCUCUACCUUUGCCAAAAAACCUUUUUCCCCCUCUUCCUCACCUGUUGCAUCAGCUUUCCACUUCUGCUUUGCUUGCAUUACCUGCUCCCACUUAAAUUGAGGAAAUAGUAUCUUUAUCACUGCCACUAACUGAUUGCCAUACACUGAGCUCAGAUUUAAUUCUAUAGCCCCAUUACAAGCUCCUGUACAGGACCAAGAUGCUGUAACUGAACGUGUAGAUAUUGUACUAAGGACAUAGUUUAGCUGGAAAUAUUGGUGACAGGUGGAUGGUUGGCCUGGAUGAUCUCGGAGGUCUUUUCCAACCUUGGCGAUUCUGUGAUUCUAGGUUAGCGCUGCUCCCAGGUAACCGUUGUGAGGUCACAAGACAGACAAACAGCAAAGCCACAGAGUAACGCAAAAAGGUAGCGCUGCCCACAGAGGUGCUUUCAAAGAUGUAGGGCCUCACAAAUGCUCUGUGUUUUUGAGAGGUCGCCAACAGAGCCACGCUGCCUUGAAAGAAAUGCAAGCAUCUUUAAAGGUCAUACCCUGGGAGAAGGCACUCAAUACCAUAAUUGGAUAAUUAAUUCCAACUCUCCAGGUGAUGACUCCUGAAUGCUCAGAACCGCUUCCACUCUUUGUAAAUUAAAUUAAUUAAAAUCUGGCACUAAGCCUUUUCAAUAAGGAAAGCAGCAUCCAGGAAAUUAGAGGUGUAAGGAGAAGCUUCGACAAUGAAGCAGCCCAUCAUACACUACAGACGUGCAUUAUUAUUUUUGAUUCUUAAACUAAGGUCUAACAUGGGUUAGCAUGUAAUAUAUACAAAUCACAGAUGUUUUCCAGAAGAACUGACAGUUUUUACUGCAUAUAUCCAAUCUGCAGACUUCUAUCAAAUUUAUAUCAAAUAUUCAUAUUGGAAAAUAUUAACUGUUCUUUUUUUUAAUAGAGAAAAACUUAUCUAAUCAUUUAUAUGACAAAAAAAUCCCACUUAAUUUUUGAUGCCAUUUUAAUUACUACCAAUAACUCAGCUAUCAUACAGGGAGCUUGGAUUUAAUUCAGAUCAAGUCUACAACUGUUUUGCUAACAAAAUUAAUUAUCAGUAAUAAAUCUGGAUAGUUCUUCUCA